UACGGAGGGUGCGAGCGUUAAUCGGAAUUACUGGGCGUAAAGCGCGCGUAGGCGGCUUGCUAAGUCAGCUGUGAAAGCCCCGGGCUUAACCUGGGAACUGCAGUUGAUACUGGCAGGCUGGAGUACGAGAGAGGGAGGUAGAAUUCCAUGUGUAGCGGUGAAAUGCGUAGAUAUAUGGAGGAAUACCAGUGGCGAAGGCGGCCUCCUGGCUCGAUACUGACGCUGAGGUGCGAAAGCGUGGGUAGCAAACAGG
rnacentral:rRNA from 1 species